UCUGCCUUCAAGUCAUGAAAGAGACUUUCUUUUUAGGAUCUGUACAUUAAGACAUCCAAAGGGGUCUGAAGGACAAAGAUGGACACACAGUCUCGUACCUAUCAGCAGAUGCCCAUUGUGAACAGGAUGAUACUGUGUUCAGAGGUCAAACAAAUCCUCUAGUUAGAGUCCAUGAGCAUGUUACCCUCUAAAACCCUGUUCAGUGAAUGCAAAUGAAGCUUUGAGCAAGUCUGAUGGCCAUUUUGUCUGUGAGCUCUGGGACGUGAUGCUGGGCACUGGAAAAGCAGAAGGGUGGCCUUUGCCAAUGGGAACAGCACCCUCGAGUGGGAAAACGAAGUAACUUCCAGUCAGCAGGACCUGAGGGAAAGACAUUCGUUUUUGGGCACGGAGCUGCUUCGGUAGAGAGAAGGGAAUUUUUCGCCAUCACCCAGAUGGAGCUGCUGCUUCUUCUCCUUCUUCCCUCUUCGUUGAUGGCCUCGCACCCCCUGUCCUGCCGGGACGUGUGGCAGUGCCAGCCACCACCAUGGAGCUUCUGAGACACCUCAGCCACUGGCCCAGGAUCUCAGCUCAUCCCUGCUGUUCCAGCUGAGUGUUCCUCAGAGUCC